rnacentral:sRNA from 1 species
GCGCCCGCACGUCGCCACCCGUCAGCGCGUUGCGCCCACGGGUGCGUUUUUC